CUGCCACACCUGCCAGCAAUCAGCCUCAUCUCUGGCAGUACUUCUGUCAACCCCGGCUUGAUCGUCGUUGCUCCUUACCUGGUGCCACUUCAUCACUCAAGCUCUUAGGUCCACUCACCGCCAUCCUCCGUUCCGUCAGCUGGGCUUGCCACCCUGCCCUCUCCCCUCGGACCUCUUCCACGGCGUCCUCCGGGCUCUUCCCCGUGCCUCUUUACUCCCUCGGUCCCGAGAGCCCCCGACUCCCUUGUCUCAGUCUCCUUGGUUGCCCGUGUUUCAUCGGCGUCCGCCUCUCCCUCACCUCCACUCCCUCAACCCCUUUUCCCCUUCAAUAAAGCCUGUUCUUCCCGAG